CAUGAACGCUGGCGGCAUGCCUUACACAUGCAAGUCGAACGGCAGCACGGGGGCAACCCUGGUGGCGAGUGGCGAACGGGUGAGUAAUACAUCGGAACGUGUCCUGUAGUGGGGGAUAGCCCGGCGAAAGCCGGAUUAAUACCGCAUACGCUCUACGGAGGAAAGGGGGGGAUCUUAGGACCUCUCGCUACAGGGGCGGCCGAUGGCAGAUUAGCUAGUUGGUGGGGUAAAGGCCUACCAAGGCGACGAUCUGUAGCUGGUCUGAGAGGACGACCAGCCACACUGGGACUGAGACACGGCCCAGACUCCUACGGGAGGCAGCAGUGGGGAAUUUUGGACAAUGGGCGCAAGCCUGAUCCAGCAAUGCCGCGUGUGUGAAGAAGGCCUUCGGGUUGUAAAGCACUUUUGUCCGGAAAGAAAACCUCUGCCCUAAUACGGCGGGGGGAUGACGGUACCGGAAGAAUA
rnacentral:rRNA from 1 species